ensembl:lncRNA
UCACACCUUUCGUCCACACAUAAACGGCGUUUCCAAUCACAGAAAAUGGAGAUUUUUUAAAACUCCUGUCAGGUUGGAGAUUUUCAAAAACUCCAUUUUUAUGUUUACUUGUGGACGAGGAAUACGGAGUUCGUCACGCAACGUCAAAGGUUACUGAAGCCCACAGAUGACUCUUCUGCAUGAUCAAAAUGUGUGAUGCUUCAGUAAAUGCAGAAAUUCCUCCAGUUGCCAUAAGACACUGUAUAAAUGUAAUGCUGCCUUCAAGCUCACCGACAGCAAUCAUAAUUACUGGAGUCGUCGAAAAUUUCCAUGCGCCUCAAAGAAGUGACGUCACAGAGCCAGAGACAAUAACGACGUUAACAAGGCCAUCGUUUAAUAAAAUAAUGCAAUAAUGUAUAUUUUAUAAAAUUACGCUAUUUACUACAUUGUUUACUGUAACGUGUGUAAUCCAAUCCCUACUCGUUGUCAUACUAGUAGGCUAUAGAUUAUUUGCCUAUAUUACUAUAAACCUAUCGCAUCUCAGCGCACAAUGUGUUUUGUCAUGCUUUUUGAAAACAACUUCUGUCCAGGAUAUCACGU